AGCAAUUGUUUCCUCUUGGCUGCUGUUGCUUUAUUAGGUCUGAACAACGGAAGAGAAAAGGCAAAGAAGCAAGCCCCUUUCAGAGAGAUGCAGAGCAGGGGGGAGAAGUUGCCUAUACACAGGAACGGGAGAUGAAUACUCACCCAGCAAUUAUGCCCGUGCACUGAGACAUGUUUCGGAACAAGUGUCAAACCUUUACCUGGAGCGGCAGUUCAGUUCUCUGGAUCUUUCCUACCUACUAUGCUUAAGCUGGGCACAGGACCUAUAUGGAAGAAGCAGCUCAGGGAAUUGCUGUCUAUAAUGUCUCCUCCCACUGCAAGCAGCUCCAAAGGUGUAUAGAAUCUACAAACAGGUAACAAUUUGCCUUCCUCUCUGCUUUUUAAUAGAGUAGAAUAGUUUGGAGAGGCAACUUUAAGAAAUGUACGGAACACAGAAGCCAUCAGCAGUCCUAACCAGGAAUAACUUUUCUUUUAUCUCAUUUAUUCAAUUUAUUUUUGGAUAUGCCUCCACUUCUGCUAGUCUGUCAACUGUCUUUGUCACUUCCCACCUGUCCCCUUUAAGCAAGGCAGAGAAUAAACUGGUUGUUAUCAGGAGCAAGAAGCUCUCGAAGGAGGGACUGGUCAAGGGUACACAUUUUCAGCUUUGUAGGAUGAAUAAGUUCCAGAGUGGAAAUGUACAACAUGGAGUUCAUAGUAACAAUUACUAUUAGACAUGUGAAAUGUACUACAUGAAGAUAUCUUAAGUAUCCCAGACCACAUCCAGAGCUACUUACAUUGAGGCAAUGGAUCUGGUAAUUAGCUUGACUGUAGCACAAUGUAUAUCAAAACCUCAAGCUUGGGCACUUUAAGGAUAUAUGUUUCAGAUGUCAAUGCUGCCUCAAGUUGUUUUAAAAGAGAAAGAUAUUACUUAAACAGUACCUUACAGAGUUUCUAGCAUCUUCAGUAGGAAAGAGCCUAAAAGAUCAUGUUAACUAUUAUCAGAAUAGGAAAGAGAUCGUCCAAAGCUGCAAACCUACCAAAUAACAAAGCUAGGAUUUAAGCCUAAGUCGGUCCAAGUUCAAAGGCAGAGGCUUCUAAGAGGAAACAAGACCUGUUUAGGAAAGAAACUUCUGAAAGUACACAGUAGCCUGUUAGUUUUUGCGGGAGAGAGAACUGCUGGUUCGGAAGAGCCUUAGAACCCUAAGAUGCCUUCUUUUAUUCCUUGAGUGGGAACUUGUUAACUGAACUGAGCUCUGGAGCUCUAAAGCUACUAAGCAGAGGUAAGGGGACAGGCAUUUCAGACAAGACAAGAAUUAAUACAAACAGGUGUUUCUCUGGAGCAUAAUUGAGGCAGCUUUGUCAGCGGUGGGUGAAAACUGCAUAUAGUGUCUUCAUAAAAAUUCUAGUUCUAAGAGAAAGACACACUGCAGUGGAGCAGUUGCAGCUAUGCAAUAGUGGACAUGUGCAAGUGCUCCAACAGGAAGAAACAGAUGAUUUUGUGAGGUCUCAUUGAGGCCAGGGGCUCAAGGAAAGAGAACUUCUACAAGUGAUGCUUGCUCUGAGUUCUGAGAGCAAAUAGGUCACAAUCAUGCAACUAUAAAGGUGAAGGGCAUUUCAGACAGAGGCAGUCUGUUCAUAAUGUCCAGUUCAGCAGCAUUAAAUGUAUCCACAAUGUUGCACAAAGCACUAUCUCACUGUAAACUAUUCAUCCGCUCUGCUUACAGCUCUGUACCCAUAAAACAAGGACUCUCUUUUUGCCUCCUCACAAUCCCUGGGAGUGUCCAUUUUUUUAUACAGGUAGCUCAUAAAGGUGUAAUUGCAUGAUAUUCACUUUGAAUACUAUUACUUUUGUGUACAUUGUACAUGUAUGUGUGCAUGUGUGUGGGCAUCAUAUGUGUGGAGGUCUGUAAUGAGGCCAGAGCUUGGUAUCCCAUGUCCUUUCCCAUAGUUUUCCACCUUAUAUGCUGAGGCAGGGUUUCUCAGAUGAAGCCAGAGUUCACCAAUUUGAUUCAGCAGGUCAAGUCAAAUUUCCAGAAUUCGCUGAGUCCAUCUCCUGAGCACUGUGAUGACAGUCAGACUGUUAUGCCCACCCAGCAGUUACAUGGGUACUGGCAAUCUACAAGUCUUCAUGCUUUCAUGGCAAAAUGCGUCCUUUGCAGUGGAAUCAUUACCUGAUGACCAGGCAUGUUAUUUUAAAAGAGCAAAAUGGGAAGCAGAAGCUGAGAAACUCUACAUCACUCAAGAGUGUCUGCAUGAUGUUCACCCAUCAAACCGAAAGACGCCUAAGUGGAAGGUGGCUUUGGGCGAGGGGAAUACCUGCUGGCUUGCUGAGACCCAGAGAAGGAAAACAAAGUGAAGUAAAUUGCAUGUUCUCUUCUCUACUCCGGCUGCCAAGGCUUUGUGCAGACAAUGCUGAGAAAUUACAAAGCCUGGAGGAGGUUCAGCUGUGCAAACGUGCAUCUCUCUGCCAUCUGCCUCUUCAUCUUGUCUCUUACAAGAUGAAGAUUAUAGAGAUAUGUACACAUGUGCAUGCACAUAUGCGUGUGCAAUGAUUCUAUACCAGGUGUUGUACAAAGCUAUUUUGGAAGGUGGCAAAAUUAGAUAGCUGAGUAAACAUGAGCUCGACUAAGACAUUUUUGUGGUGAGACAAAAUUUCAUGUUUGAUCUAAGUAGCUGCAAUUUAGACGCUCACACUCACUGCUCUGCAAGGUUUUUGGCUAAGGAUGGUAGAAGAAGUAUCUAAAGAAUCUGCUUAAGGGGUUAGAGCAAUAGGCAAACCAUCUAGUGUUAUGUGUCACAAUGAGAAAGCAGUCUUCAGAACGAGAACUAUAGCGUUCUGGUGCCUGCUCUUAUAUUCUGUAAUACUUCUGCUACCCUGUUUGGCUGACAAAAGUGAUACAUGCAUAUGUCUUCCCAAGUCUCUCCAAAUAUCUGUGUGUGUGUGUGUGUGAAUAUAUCACAUAUACAU